CGGGGGGGGCGUGCCUAUACAUGCAAGUCGAGCGGACAGAUGGGAGCUUGCUCCCUGAUGUUAGCGGCGGACGGGUGAGUAACACGUGGGUAACCUGCCUGUAAGACUGGGAUAACUCCGGGAAACCGGGGCUAAUACCGGAUGGUUGUUUGAACCGCAUGGUUCAGACAUAAAAGGUGGCUUCGGCUACCACUUACAGAUGGACCCGCGGCGCAUUAGCUAGUUGGUGAGGUAACGGCUCACCAAGGCGACGAUGCGUAGCCGACCUGAGAGGGUGAUCGGCCACACUGGGACUGAGACACGGCCCAGACUCCUACGGGAGGCAGCAGUAGGGAAUCUUCCGCAAUGGACGAAAGUCUGACGGAGCAACGCCGCGUGAGUGAUGAAGGUUUUCGGAUCGUAAAGCUCUGUUGUUAGGGAAGAACAAGUGCCGUUCAAAUAGGGCGGCACCUUGACGGUACCUAACCAGAAAGCCACGGCUAACUACGUGCCAGCAGCCGCGGUAAUACGUAGGUGGCAAGCGUUGUCCGGAAUUAUUGGGCGUAAAGGGCUCGCAGGCGGUUUCUUAAGUCUGAUGUGAAAGCCCCCGGCUCAACCGGGGAGGGUCAUUGGAAACUGGGGAACUUGAGUGCAGAAGAGGAGAGUGGAAUUCCACGUGUAGCGGUGAAAUGCGUAGAGAUGUGGAGGAACACCAGUGGCGAAGGCGACUCUCUGGUCUGUAACUGACGCUGAGGAGCGAAAGCGUGGGGAGCGAACAGGAUUAGAUACCCUGGUAGUCCACGCCGUAAACGAUGAGUGCUAAGUGUUAGGGGUUUCCGCCCCUUAGUGCUGCAGCUAACGCAUUAAGCACUCCGCCUGGGGAGUACGGUCGCAAGACUGAAACUCAAGGAAUUGACGGGGGCCCGCACAAGCGUGGAGCAUGUGGUUUAAUUCGAAGCAACGCGAGAACUUACAGUCUGACAUCUCUGACAUCUAGAGAUAGACGUCCUCGGGGCAGAGUGACAGGUGUGCAUGAUGUCGUCAGCUCUUGUCUGAGAAUGUUUGGUUUAAGUUCCCGCAACCAAGG
rnacentral:rRNA from 1 species